AACGCACCUUGCACUCUUUGGUAUUCCGAAGAGUAUGUCUGUUUGAGUGUCAUGAAACUCUCAACCCCCCUAUUUUGUAAUGAGAUGGGCGUUUGGGCUUGGAUUAUGGCUGCUUGCUGGACCUUUAAUCAGGAUCGGCUUGGCUGAAAUACAAGAGCAAUCCAGUUUAAUUAUAACGGCUUGACUCGGCGUAAUAACUAUUUCGCUGAGGACGUUUCAAUUAAGAUAGUGAUGCUUCUAAUGCAUGUCUAAAAGACAUAACUUUAAGCUUUAGACCUCAAAUCGGUCAGGACUACCCGCUGAACUUAA
rnacentral:misc_RNA from 1 species